rnacentral:rRNA from 1 species
UACGUAGGGGGCGAGCGUUGUCCGGAAUCAUUGGGCGUAAAGCGCGUGUGGGCGGCUUGGUAAGUCCGGUGUGAAACCUUGGGGCUCAACCCCAAGCCUGCACUGGAUACUGCCUCGCUUGAGUCCGGGAGGGGAGAGCGGAAUUCCUAGUGUAGCGGUGAAAUGCGCAGAUAUUAGGAAGAACACCGGUGGCGAAGGCGGCUCUCUGGAACGGUACUGACGCUGAGACGCGAAAGCGUGGGGAGCGAACAGG